GUAAUAAUCCUGUAGUCGAAAAUGUUGUCUCUCUUGAGUGGAUCCUGAGUACGACGGAGCACGUGAAAUUCCGUCGGAAUCUGGGAGGACCAUCUCCUAAGGCUAAAUACUCUCUAGUGACCGAUAGUGAACCAGUACCGUGAGGGAAAGGUGAAAAGCACCCCGGAAGGGGAGUGAAAUAGAACCUGAAACCGUGUGCUUACAAGUAGUCAGAGCCCGUUAAUGGGUGAUGGCGUGCCUUUUGUAGAAUGAACCGGCGAGUUACGAUUUGAUGCAAGGUUAAGCAGUAAAUGUGGAGCCGUAGCGAAAGCGAGUCUGAAUAGGGCGUUUAGUAUUUGGUCGUAGACCCGAAACCAGGUGAUCUACCCUUGGUCAGGUUGAAGUUCAGGUAACACUGAAUGGAGGACCGAACCGACUUACGUUGAAAAGUGAGCGGAUGAACUGAGGGUAGCGGAGAAAUUCCAAUCGAACCUGGAGAUAGCUGGUUCUCUCCGAAAUAGCUUUAGGGCUAGCCUCAAGUGAUGAUUAUUGGAGGUAGAGCACUGUUUGGACGAGGGGCCCCUCUCGGGUUACCGAAUUCAGACAAACUCCGAAUGCCAAUUAAUUUAACUUGGGAGUCAGAACAUGGGUGAUAAGGUCCGUGUUCGAAAGGGAAACAGCCCAGACCACCAGCUAAGGUCCCAAAAUAUAUGUUAAGUGGAAAAGGAUGUGGCGUUGCCCAGACAACUAGGAUGUUGGCUUAGAAGCAGCCAUCAUUUAAAGAGUGCGUAAUAGCUCACUAGUCGAGUGACACUGCGC
rnacentral:rRNA from 1 species